rnacentral:rRNA from 1 species
GGAAUUUUGGACAAUGGGGGAAACCCUGAUCCAGCCAUGCCGCGUGGGUGAAGAAGGCCUUAGGGUUGUAAAACUCUUUCACCGGGGACGAUGAUGACGGUACCCGGAGAAGAAGCCCCGGCUAACUCCGUGCCAGCCGCCGCGGUAAUACGGAGGGGGCUAGCGUUGUUCGGAAUUACUGGGCGUAAAGCGCACGUAGGCGGUUUAUCAAGUCAGAUGUGAAAGCCCCGGGCUUAACCCGGGAAAUGCAUUUGAUACUGAUUGACUAGAGGCCGGGAGAGGGUAGUGGAAUUCCCAGUGUAGAGGUGAAAUUCGUAGAUAUUGGGAAGAACACCGGUGGCGAAGGCGGCUACCUGGACCGGACCUGACGCUGAGGUGCGAAAGCGUGGGGAGCA